GAUGAACGCUAGCUACAGGCUUAACACAUGCAAGUCGCGGGGCAGCAUGGGGGUUGCUUGCAAUCCCCGAUGGCGACCGGCGCACGGGUGAGUAACGCGUAUCCAACCUGCCCUUCACCACGGGAUAACCCGGCGAAAGUCGGACUAAUACCGUAUGUUGUCCAUUGACGGCAUCCGAUUUGGACGAAAGGUUUGGCGGUGAAGGAUGGGGAUGCGCCCGAUUAGCUGGACGGCGGGGUGACGGCCCACCGUGGCGACGAUCGGUAGGGGUUCUGAGAGGAAGGUCCCCCACACUGGAACUGAGACACGGUCCAGACUCCUACGGGAGGCAGCAGUGAGGAAUAUUGGUCAAUGGGCGUAAGCCUGAACCAGCCAAGUAGCGUGCAGGAUGACGGCCCUAUGGGUUGUAAACUGCUUUUAUGCGGGGAUAAAGUGGCCCACGUGUGGGUUUUUGCAGGUACCGCAUGAAUAAGGACCGGCUAAUUCCGUG
rnacentral:rRNA from 1 species